UACGUAGGGCGCAAGCGUUGUCCGGAAUUAUUGGGCGUAAAGAGCUCGUAGGCGGCUUGUUGCGUCGGAUGUGAAAGCCCGGGGCUUAACCCCGGGUCUGCAUUCGAUACGGGCAGGCUAGAGUGUGGUAGGGGAGAUCGGAAUUCCUGGUGUAGCGGUGAAAUGCGCAGAUAUCAGGAGGAACACCGGUGGCGAAGGCGGAUCUCUGGGCCAUUACUGACGCUGAGGAGCGAAAGCGUGGGGAGCGAACAGG
rnacentral:rRNA from 1 species